GCAUGCAUACGCUCUCACAGUCGAUCGCUUUCAAGGGAGCGUAGCACCACCCCCGACGAAAACGUCGAAGAGGGUACGCCAUCCGCAUCUUUUCCGCUGCCUGCUUCUCUCUUCCUCGCUUCUGCCGUGCUGUAGCGUCGUCGCAGAGACACCUAUCCCGGAGGAACAGACAAGCCAAAACAGAAAGAAUGCAGCCUCUGCAGCAAGUGCACACAAGCACGCCGACUCCAGCCGCAGGGCCGCCUCCUGUAUACCCUACACCACAACUACACACACACACACCUGAUCGUGCGCACUCAUCAAGCAUACUAUGCAACGUAUGACCGGACAGAAUUAGAACCCGCCCCUCUCCCCCAGAGGGAGCGGGCGGAGGCAUCGGCGGCCGCGGAUGCGCGAGGGCUUUCCCAGGAUGGGACUCGCUCCUGCGAUGAUAGCCUCGAAUCAGAGGCAAAGAAGCGGCGCAUCAGCAAGAUACCCGCCACGUCCAGCGCCUGAACGAGGCGAAGCACUUCGUCUGCUUCACCGCUGCUUCCUUCGCCAUGAUCUGCGCCUCGACAUCGUACGCCUUCAACCUGUUCAGCGGCAGCCUUCGCGACAAGUACAACUUCGACUCGCGCCAGAUGUCCACGAUCAACACGGUGGGCAUGGUGUUCGCCUACUUUCUGUUGCCGUACGGCACGAUAUACGACUACCUUGGCCCGCUGCCGGUGUACAUCCUUGCGUGCGUGCUCGCGUCGCUGGGGCUGCUGCUGAUGGGCCUCACGUUCCAGGGCGUGAUUGCCGGCUCUGUGGUGCGGUUCUGCGUGUUCAACGCGCUGCUGAGCCUUGGCAGUCAGCUGUUCGACCUUGCAACGGUGGUGACGAUGCUGAGCAUCUUCCCGACGCGUCGCGGGUGGGUCGUGGCGCUGCUGAAGACGCUGAUGGGCCUGGGCUCUGCGAUCAUCGGGUCGAUGCGCACGGGCUUCUUCCUGAACACGCCGGCAAACUACUUCUACUUUCUGGUGGGGAUGGUGCUUGUGACCGGGCUGUGCUGCAUUGCGGUGAUGCGGCUGCCGUCGUACCACUUGACGGGCUACCAGCAGAGCCGCCUGAGCGAUGAGCAGAAGGCGGUGCGCGGUGCGCGUGUCGCGGCGUACCUGACGCAGGAGCCGCCGAUGUGGCGCUUCUACCUGAGCAUUGCGGUGGUGCUUGUGCUUGUGGUGUAUCUGCCGACGACGAGCGCGCUGGCGGCGUUCACGAAGGUCGCGAAGACGCAGCACGGCCUGCUUGCCUUCGCGAUCGUGGCCGUGGUCAUCACGAGCUGCUUUCUGCUGAUGCUGGUGCCGUGCCCGUGGCUGGAUCGUUUGACGACGAAGGGGCCGAGGGAUGAUGAGUCGGCGGAGAGCGGUGAGGUGCUGACGGACAUUGACUACAUUGCCCCGCAGUACCAGACAACCUUCCUGCAGAGCUGCUGCACGGUGAGCCUGUGGUGCAUCCUCUGGACGAUGUUCUGCGGCGUUGGCGCCGAGUUCGUGAUCAUCUUCAACGCGUCGCCCAUCUUCUCUGCGCUGACGGAGACGCCGAAGCUGGACACGACGGUGUCUGCGCUGCUGACGGUGCUGAACGGCGCUGGCAGCGCGCUGGGCCGCCUGGCCAUGUCCGUGUUCGAGCACUAUACGCAGAAGCGCAAGGCCGAGGACCGCAUGCCUAUCACCGUCGCCUUCUUUGUGCCGACGACGCUGAUCAUCCUCUCGAUGACGCUGUUCCUGGUACUGCCGGGCCGCUCGCUGCUGGCCGCGUUUGCGCUGGCGUCUCUUGGUAACGGCUUCUGCGCCAGCAUCACCAUUCUCGUCCUGCGCACCAUGUACGCCAAGGACCCCGCGAAGCACUACAACUUUGGCUUCAACGCGCUGUGGAUCGCGGCCAUCCUGCUGAACCGCCUGCUGUACGGCGAGUGGAUUGCGUCUCGGGCCGACAGGCAGGGCCAGAAGGUGUGCGUUGGCCGCGAGUGCGUGAUGAUGCCGCUGCUCGUCAUGAUUGGCAUGAACCUGACGGCGCUUCUCUCGGAUGUGUACCUGCACAUCAGCUACUCCCGCUUCUCACGCAGGGUGCUGGCCGAGCGCCGCCGCCUGCGGGAGGGGGUCGCCGCCGCGGGCAGCUCGGAGCCGAUCUACCCGGAAAAGGAGGUGGCCCGAGGUGAAAGAGUCUACGCACAUGGCUCGGGCAGCAGAGCAGAAGAGCACAUCGAAAGGGCAGUAAGCGAACAGACAGGCGAACGGGAGCGAAGAGGUGUAUGGCGGAGCGGAAGGAUGCCGUGAAGAGUCGUCUGAAUGUAUAUAUGUGUGAUAGAGUCGAGGUGAUUUUGUCGUCGCGCCUCUUCGGUCUCUGAUCACGCAUUUGGUUUGAAGGUUAGCGACUUCUGUUGUGCUUCGUGUGGUCGUGAGACGAUGCCGCGCGCGGUGUUGUGUGGUGAAGGAAAAGCGCAGCUGUAGUGCGUGGUAGCGCUGGUCUUUCAUCUACUGUCGCAAGGGAAUCCCCCUCUCCUUCCCUUCCUCCCCUCCGCCUCUUUCACUCUCUCGUUGAUGCGAACCACCUCUUUUUGUCGCCGUCACUGCGGCAUUACUUGUCAUCGCUGCCACCCACAGCCGCUCAUAACUAGGCGCUUGUGCCGGUCUGUGGCAUCUUUUUUUUUUGCUGCUACUGCGGUUGCUGCUGCCUCUCGUUGUGGCGCCGUUGCCACGCUGCAUCUGCCCAACCAGUCACACGCGCGACUUCACGGCUGAAGUAGUUGCCGUGUUGUGCAUGUGCGUUCGACUGGGGCCGCACAACACACGAGGACACACAAGCGAAAAGAACACUGUAGACGAGCAUCAUCCGCCUUGUUUAGAGUGCUGGCCUAGAUGAUUGAACCGCACCUACACCUUCUCUUUACGCCGCCUUCUUGCUGAUCUCGCUCGACAACCGCAACGACAACAGACAGCUCCGUCCGCACGCGCGUAGGUGAGCCGCGUCCUCCUCGCCGAGCUGCUUUGCGUCUCGCGCAUUUUUGUUUUCUGCUGGUUGCUGCCCCUCAUCAUGCUUUCCACCACAACCCUCACAGAUGUUUCUCUCGCGUCUUCCGUCUUUUCACGGAUGAGCGUCGUUGAGCGCCUGCCCUCCUUAUCAUCCUCAUUUUGUUAUCACUUAUCGUCACUCGCCAGCACUGCACCCCGUCUCCCUCUUCUCCGGCUCAUCUUGUGCCCUCUCUCCCUCCCUCUGUUUGCAUUCAUCUUGCGGACGUUGUCCACGACACCCUUUUUCGUGUCGUUGGCGGCGUUGGCGUUCGGCGUCUCCUCGAG
rnacentral:misc_RNA from 1 species